UAGUUGUAGUAGUACACUAGUACGGUUUUCUUACCUAGUACAGCAUUUUCAAUAUUUGCAAUGUCUUCACAAUGAAGACGUCAGGCAGCUCCUCGAAGAUCUCACCUUUGGAAAAGAUUUUAUUCUAAAAAAAAAAGUAAAUAAAUACUGUUACAAACAUGCCAGGUUCCACCUCCACACAAUCACAGCGCACACCCUCACCUGAGUACUGAACCAUCACCACCUGAUCCUCAUCCAACCUGGUCUCACAGAAUUCCGUGAAAUGUCCACGGGUCCUUAACUCAAAAUCCGUGAAGCCAUCACGGAAUUGCCCCAAAUUCCGUGACCCGGCCACGGAUAUUUCUCCAACGCAAGUCAAUGACACUGACCUCCCGUGAUCCACACACGGAUACCCGUUUCAAUGACGGAGUACAGAACUCGCUGAACGGACGUGCUUUCUCAUUUGGAAACGCAACAUUUGAAGUAUUUGUUUCUUUUCUAAUAUCAAAUGCCAUAAUGACGUUAACCAGACAGCUGUUGUAGUUAUUGCAUUGUCCUGUCAUCAUAAAAAUUACGUUUGUUUCAGUUACAAAAGUCCCGUGAUGGCACGGACCUCCACAACCUGACCUCACUCACUUGUUUAGGAACUUACAAGCUUUUCGUCGACACUAGUUGCAAUGGCAUGUAAUUAACUUGGCAUUUUUUCUCGUCCUGUCAUCAUAAAAUCCAGUUUGAUGGCGUUUUACACACAUUUUGGCUAUAGUCAGAACUAAAAUCUGUGAUAGGAGCACGGAGUGAGUCUGUGCUUAGAUCACGGAUAACUCUAACGCAAGUCAAUGACACUCAUCUUCCGUGGUCCGUACACGGAUCGUUUCAGUGAUGGAGUACAGACCUCACUCAAUGGACGUGCUAUCUCAUCUGGAAACGCAACAUUUGAACUGAAAAGACGUAAAGUAAGCAGUCACCCCAGUGGUGUUUGUGGAGAGGUAUUCCUUCAGAAAUGGAGAAGACAGAAAGCUGCAGAGGCAGGAUUGGUUGCAGAUAAUGCUGUUCUUCUUUUUCAGAAGUUUUUGGUGGGCCAACCCUCACAAACCUUCCUAAAAACUAAAAGAGCUAUUACUGAGUCUCAGCGACUCUUGCCACGAUCAGCUCUUCCCAGGUACAUUUGUUUACUCAUCAAAUGCUCUGGUCUGAAUCUUACUUUAAAUUAA
ensembl:lncRNA